GCGAUGAAAGUUAAUAAAAAAUUUGAUUAAGGUGGACAAAUUUUAUUACGAUGGGUGACAGUGGUUACAAGGACCCAAAAUUAUUUUUUUAAAAUUUAACUCGAACAAAUAUAUUCGAUUUGAUUCGAUUCGAAUUCCAUCUCAGUCGACUCGAUUUGAGAAAAUUUCAAAUCAAAUUAGGAUGAUAAAAUAUGAUUCGUCAACUCGAUUAACUCAAAAUUUUUUUAUUCGAUUCGAUUGAACACUCACCCCUAAUUAAAAUAAUAUGAUAAAAUUUUACGAACCUAAUGAUAGUCUUUCUGCAUCAAUGUAUUUGCUUCUUUCUUUAGGGCGUGUGGUGCCACCAGCAGUAGUUAUAAUGGGUCAAGUCCUCCCAUCUUCAAUAGCUUCCCAAGCUUCUUCAUUGAUAGACACAAUGAAAGUCCUCAUGUGAGCCUUCCAAUAAACAUAGUUUGCUGAAUCAAGUAGCAACGACGGCCGAGUAAUCGAACUACCUUCACGGAUCCCAUGAUCAUAAACCGAACAAAGGAUCACCUUCAAAUAACUUUUGAAGAUAGAUCUGAUACCAAUUGAGAAAAAAUAAUUAAUCUACCGAUAUGAUAAAUCAAAUUUGUUUAAUGUUCGUUGUAAUGACAAUUAGAAUGAAAACAUACAACGAAAAGAAUAAGGCUAGAAAAGAAUUGACAUAAUCGAUCUUUGUUAACGCAUUUCAGACACCCUUGAAUAAAUC
rnacentral:lncRNA from 1 species